AUCUUUCAAAGGGUGUAAAAUAGUUUUAUGUUUGAAAAAUUAGAAUUUUGACAUUUAUUUGGAUUCAAAUUUGCCGCUCUUGAAAUGCACCUGCUGUUGAUGGAGUGCACCACGGGUGGCACGCUAGCGUCCCACCUAGCCCAUAGAGGCUAGUAGCCAUGCUAUAUAUAGUGUAUCUAGUAGCCAUGCUAUAUAUAGUGUUUCUAGUAGCCAUGCUAUAUAUAGUGUUUCUAGUAGCCAUGCUAUAUAUAGUGUAUCUAGUAGCCAUGCUAUAUAUAGUGUUUCUAGUAGCCAUGCUAUAUAUAGUGUUUCUAGUAGCCAUGCUAUAUAUAGUGUUUCUAGUAGCCAUGCUAUAUAUAGUGUAUCUAGUAGCCAUGCUAUAUAUAGUGUAUCUAGUAGCCAUGCUAUAUAUAGUGUAUCUAGUAGCCAUGCUAUAUAUAGUGUAUCUAGUAGCCAUGCUAUAUAUAGUGUAUCUAGUAGCCAUGCUAUAUAUAGUGUAUCUAGUAGCCAUGCUAUAUAUAGUGUAUCUAGUAGCCAUGCUAUAUAUAGUGUAUCUAGAAGCCAUGCUAUAUAUAGUGUAGAGGCCAUGCUAUAUAUAGUGUAUCUAGUAGCCAUGCUAUAUAUAGUGAAGAGGCCAUGCUCUAUAUAGUGUAUCUAGUAGCCAUGCUAUAUAUAGUGUAGAGGCCAUGCUAUAUAUAGUGUAUCUAGUAGCAAUGCUCUAUAUAGUGUAGUGAACUAAACAGAGUGAGUACGGUAGUAAACAGAGUGAGUAGUGUGCGAAACAGAGUGAGUACGGUAGUGUGCUAAAAAGAGUGAGUACGGUAGUAAACAGAGUGAGUACGGUAGUUAACAGAGUGAGUACGGUAGUGUACUAAACAGAGUGAGUACGGUAGUGUACUAAACAGAGUCAGUACGGUAGUGUACUAAACAGAUUGAGUACGGUAGUGUGCUAAACAGAGUGAGUACGGUAGUGUGCUAAACAGAGUGAGUACGGUAGUGUACUAAACAGAGUGAGUACGGUAGUAAACAGAGUGAGUACGGUAGUGAACACAGUGAGUACGGUAAUGUGCUAAACAGAGUGAGUACGGUAGUGUAGUAAACAGAGUGAGUACGGUAGUGUACUAAAAAGAGUGAGUACGGUAGUAAACAGAGUGAGUAUGGUAGUGUGCUAAACAGAGUGAGUACGGUAGUGUAGUAAACAGAGUGAGUACGGUAGUGUACUAAACAGAGUGAGUACGGUAGUAAACAGAGUGAGUACGGUAGUAAACAGAGUGAGUACGGCAGUGUACUAAACAGAGUGAGUAUGGUAGUGUACUAAACAGAGUGAGUACGGUAGUGUGCUAAACAGAGUGAGUACGGUACUGUAGUAAACAGAGUGAGUACGGUAGUGUACUAAACAGAGUGAGUACGGUAGUGUACUAAACAGAGUGAGUACGGUAGUGUGCUAAACAGAGUGAGUACGGUAGUGUAGUAAACAGAGUGAGUACGGUAGUGUGCUAAACAGAGUGAGUACUGUAAUGUACUAAACAGAGUGAGUACGGUAGUAAACAGAGUGAGUACGGUAGUAAACAGAGUGAGUCUGGUAGUGAAGUAAACAGAGUGAGUACGGUAGUAAACAGAGUGAGUACGGUAGUGUACUAAACAGAGUGAGUACGGUAGUAAACAGAGUGAGUACGGUAGUAAACAGAGUGAGUACGGUAGUAAACAGAGUGAGUACGGUAGUAAACAGAGUGAGUACGGUAGUGAAGUAAACAGAGUGAGUACGGUAGUAAACAGAGUGAGUAUGGUAGUGUGCUAAACAGAGUGAGUACGGUAGUGUAGUAAACAGAGUGAGUACGGUAGUGUACUAAACAGAGUGAGUACGGUAGUAAAUAGAGUGAGUACGGUAGUAAACAGAGUGAGUACGGCAGUGUACUAAACAGAGUGAGUAUGGUAGUGUACUAAACAGAGUGAGUACGGUAGUGUGCUAAACAGAGUGAGUACGGUACUGUAGUAAACAGAGUGAGUACGGUAGUGUACUAAACAGAGUGAGUACGGUAGUGUACUAAACAGAGUGAGUACGGUAGUGUGCUAAACAGAGUGAGUACGGUAGUGUAGUAAACAGAGUGAGUACGGUAGUGUGCUAAACAGAGUGAGUACUGUAAUGUACUAAACAGAGUGAGUACGGUAGUAAACAGAGUGAGUACGGUAGUAAACAGAGUGAGUCUGGUAGUGAAGUAAACAGAGUGAGUACGGUAGUAAACAGAGUGAGUACGGUAGUGUACUAAACAGAGUGAGUACGGUAGUAAACAGAGUGAGUACGGUAGUAAACAGAGUGAGUACGGUAGUAAACAGAGUGAGUACGGUAGUAAACAGAGUGAGUACGGUAGUGAAGUAAACAGAGUGAGUACGGUAGUGUACUAAACAGAGUGAGUACGGUAGUGUACUAAACAGAGUGAGUACG
rnacentral:lncRNA from 1 species